UCCGGCAUAGCUCAGUUGGCAGUAGCGCAUGACUGUUAAUCAUGAUGUCGCAGGUUCGAGUCCUGCUGCCGGAG
rnacentral:tRNA from 1 species